UCGUAACAAGGUUUCCGUAGGUGAACCUGCGGAAGGAUCAUUACCGAGUGCGGGCUGCCUCCGGGCGCCCAACCUCCCACCCGUGACUACCUAACACUGUUGCUUCGGCGGGGAGCCCCCCAGGGGGCGAGCCGCCGGGGACCACUGAACUUCAUGCCUGAGAGUGAUGCAGUCUGAGCCUGAAUACAAAUCAGUCAAAACUUUCAACAAUGGAUCUCUUGGUUCCGGCAUCGAUGAAGAACGCAGCGAACUGCGAUAAGUAAUGUGAAUUGCAGAAUUCAGUGAAUCAUCGAGUCUUUGAACGCACAUUGCGCCCCCUGGCAUUCCGGGGGGCAUGCCUGUCCGAGCGUCAUUGCUGCCCUCAAGCCCGGCUUGUGUGUUGGGUCGUCGUCCCCCCCCGGGGGACGGGCCCGAAAGGCAGCGGCGGCACCGUGUCCGGUCCUCGAGCGUAUGGGGCUUUGUCACCCGCUCGAUUAGGGCCGGCCGGGCGCCAGCCGGCGUCUCCAACCUUAUUUUUCUCAGGUUGACCUCGGAUCAGGUAGGGAUACCCGCUGAACCUAAGCAUAUCAAU
rnacentral:misc_RNA from 1 species